rnacentral:snoRNA from 1 species
GAGGAUAUGAUGAUCCUUUCCCCAGAUGAUGGACAAUGAACAUACUAUCCUCCAAUUUUAAUGCAUGAGUUGAUUCUU